ensembl:misc_RNA Metazoa_SRP Metazoan signal recognition particle RNA
GCCAGGCAUGGUGGCCUAUGCCUGUAAUCCCAGCUACUCAGGAGGCUGAGGCAGGAGGAUCGCUUGAGCCCAGGAGGUCAAGGCUGCAGUGAGCCCUGAUUGUGCCACAGCACUCCAGCCUGGACAACAGAGCAGGACCCUAUCUCAG